rnacentral:sRNA from 1 species
UGACCCAUCAAUCAGCCAGCAGAUCCAAUCCUCUAUAGACUCUUCAUCUCUCCCCUUCCCACCAGCGACCCUCUGCCCCCCAAACGCGACCCAAAUACUUCGCUCCCCGACUCUAGUCACAACCCCCUCCAGGGCCUUAUCUUUUCUCUCCUCCUCCUUUGAUCCUCUUGCCCUACCGCCACCACCCCGAGUUCCCGCCGCCACAUCCUCAACUCUCACGACAUCGCCCACCCUCAUCCCAUGAGCGCCCAACCUCUGCGCUCCCCCAUCACCGUUCCCACCAUCACCAUUGCUAUCCUUUCCACCCCUCGCCCCAGAUCCAAUCGCACUGUCCACGCCGAAUUCGCCUACCUCACGUCCACCCAUUCCCGUCCGACAAUUGAUGAGAACCAGGCCUAUGAGGGCAUAGCCUGCGGCCUGUAAUGUGCGGCGUGUUGAAGCGGAAAUGCCAUCUGAUUGUGCAAUUGAUGCAGAGAGCGGUGAAGAGGCAAUUUCGGCUUCAUGUUCUGCGAGAAGGAGUUCUGUUUGGGCUUGGGCGAAGGCUUGGAUGGGGAUUGGAGUCGGCAUUGGGGUGCGGGGUAUUGGAAAGGGAUGAGGAGGGGUAGGGGACCUCAAUUAAUUGGUACUUUUGUAUAUCUAGGUUGAAUGAGGGGCCAAUUUUAGAGUGGCAGACUGGGAAUCGGAUUCAAAAGUGAAUGCCAUAUCACUGAUGCUCCUUAUUGAGGCUGCCUGGAAUGAUUUGUUAUCAAUGUUGUGGCUGAUGAGCGAUGAUGAUGUGAGGACGAGGCCGUAGUUAACUAACUAGUUAAAGCUAAAAAGCAAUUGAA